UGGGGGAGGGCGAGGGGAGAGUGUCUCUUCCCUCUACACAAUUCUCUGAAACGAAAUUGCUUCUGGUUAUUCUGUUCCGCAAGGACCAAAGAGACUCACCCUUCGUACCGCAAAGCAAUUGUGUAGCACAGCGCCACCACUGCCGUCAGGAUGAGACCAGCUGGGCUCGCAUGCCUGAGUUUGAAAAAGCGGAAGGAGACAAAGAGGUGAGAAACGGCGGAAAUGACACCCAAGUUAAGUCAUCCCGGCUGCGAUGAAUCAGACCUUCCACAAGCAAGCUGGAGACCCCACUACGCUCGCUUAAGAUGGCGCCGACCCAAAUUUUUCGCCCAGCAAGGUGGGAGGGGAGGAGGGUGGUUGUACUGAUUACAAGAUGGGAAGCAUUUUUUAUAUAAGAACGAAUGGAUGCUGGAAAUGUAAAGAAAAGGAAGGUAUCUUCUUCCACUUGCAAAGAGGUAAAGGCUUUCUGGGAAAUGAUAUGUAAAGAGUUAAAGAAGUUGUUCAAAAAUACCUUUGUUAAAAAACCAGAAGCCUUUUUAUUGGGCAUAGUGGGUUUUGAGAUACCAAGGGAAGAGAAAAGACUGUUUAUAUAUGCAACAACAGUGGGAAGAACCCUUUUAGCCCCAAAAUGGAAACAACAAGAAGUACCAACGAAAGAAGAGUGGCAAAUGAAGAUGAUGGACUUUGCAGAACUGGCGAAGCUGACAGGGAAAAUUCAAAACCAGCACGAUCAAGUAUCCCAAAAAGAUUGAAGUAAAUUUAUACGAUAUUUGAAAGAUUAUUGUAAGCAAUUAACAUCACUAGCAGGGUUGUCCCAAAUCUUGUAAAGAGAAAUUUUCUCCCCUUCUAUAUUUAUAAGUGUAAUUCUAUAUAUGAGUGUAAUUAGAACUGGAAAAUGUACAAAACGCAAUGAUACAAAGGUUAAUUUUGAAAGCCAUGAAGCGAGGGGGAAGGAAGUUGAUAGGCUCUAAGGAGCCAGAGCGGUAAAGUAGAUAAUAAUAAUGUGAAUGUAUAUUGUAUUACUAAAUAGAAAACCAAUAAAUAUUAUUUUUUUAAAAACCAAGAUGGAAAGCAUUUUCAGCUCUAGCUUCAUGCGAUAUAAGUGCUUCAUAUCUUGGCCAAAU